rfam:Lysinibacillus xylanilyticus strain DSM 23493 Scaffold1, whole genome shotgun sequence.
ACUAAAGGAUCUUAGCCUAAAACCUUCGCAUCCUGCGAAAAUGGCUAACUGACCUGCGUCGGUAAA